AUUGAACGCUGGCGGCAUGAUUUACACAUGCAAGUCGAACGGUAACAGGCCGCAAGGUGCUGACGAGUGGCGAACGGGUGAGUAAUGCAUCGGAACGUGCCCAGUCGUGGGGGAUAACUACUCGAAAGAGUAGCUAAUACCGCAUACGAUCUAUGGAUGAAAGCGGGGGACCGUAAGGCCUCGCGCGAUUGGAGCGGCCGAUGUCAGAUUAGGUAGUUGGUGGGGUAAAGGCUCACCAAGCCAACGAUCUGUAGCUGGUCUGAGAGGACGACCAGCCACACUGGGACUGAGACACGGCCCAGACUCCUACGGGAGGCAGCAGUGGGGAAUUUUGGACAAUGGGCGCAAGCCUGAUCCAGCAAUGCCGCGUGCAGGAAGAAGGCCUUCGGGUUGUAAACUGCUUUUGUACGGAACGAAACGGCCCUGGUUAAUACCCGGGGCUAAUGACGGUACCGUAAGAAUAAGCACCGGCUAACUACGUG
rnacentral:rRNA from 1 species